rnacentral:rRNA from 1 species
UUGUCGAAACCUGAACAGCAAACCGCGAACACGUGUUUAAACAAAUCGGGGCUGCGGUCCCUUUCUCUCCGGCGUGCGCCACGCGUCGCCGUGCGGGCUAACAAAAUCGGGCGCGGAAUGCGCCAAGGAAUACAUAAAAGAGCGUUCCCCUCCCCAUGGCCCGUGCGCGGAGAUCGUGGUGGAGGUUGGGAUGCCUGUCAUAUAAAAAAAUGACUCUCGGCAACGGAUAUCUCGGCUCUCGCAUCGAUGAAGAACGUAGCGAAAUGCGAUACUUGGUGUGAAUUGCAGAAUCCCGUGAACCAUCGAGUCUUUGAACGCAAGUUGCGCCCGAAGCCAUUAGGCCGAGGGCACGUCUGCCUGGGCGUCACGCAUCGCGUCACCUCCCUCCGCGCACAAUGCUGUUGAUGGAGGUGGAUAUUGGCCUCCCGUGCGUCAUUCCGCGCGGCCGGUCCAAAUUUGAUCCAUCGGCGACGAACGUCACGACCAGUGGUGGUUGAAGUAUCAACUCGCGUGCUGUCGUGCCAUAAGACGUCUUUCGAUCGGUAGUCGCUACAGACCCAGCGGCGCAUGCAUGCAUUGCGCCUCCGACUGCGACCCCAGGUCAGGCGGGAUU